rnacentral:rRNA from 1 species
AGAGGAUGAUCAUCCACACUGAAACUGAGACACGGUCCAGACUCCUACGGGAGUCAGCAGUGAGGAAUAUUGCACAAUGGUGGAAACCCUGAUGCAGCCAUGCCGCGUGUGUGAAGAAGGCCUUCGGGUUGUAAAGCACUUUCACCGAGGAGGAAAGGUUGAUGCCUAAUACGUAUCAACUGUGACGUUACUCGCAGAAGAAGCACCGGCUAACUCCGUGCCAGCAGCCGCGGUAAUACGGAGGGUGCAAGCGUUAAUCGGAAUUACUGGGCGUAAAGCGCACGCAGGCGGUUGGAUAAGUUAGAUGUGAAAGCCCCGGGCUCAACCUGGGAAUUGCAUUUAAAACUGUCCAGCUAGAGUCUUGUAGAGGGGGGUAGAAUUCCAGGUGUAGCGGUGAAAUGCGUAGAGAUCUGGAGGAAUACCGGUGGCGAAGGCGGCCCCCUGGACAAAGACUGACGCUCAGGUGCUAAAGCGUGGGGAGCAAACAGG